rnacentral:sRNA from 1 species
AGAUGAUUCCGGUUGAGCUGCCAGACCCCCGACCCGGCAGCUCGACCGGAGUCUUUA